CCUGAUGCAGCGACGCCGCGUGAGGGAUGACGGCCUUCGGGUUGUAAACCUCUUUCAGCAGGGACGAAGCGCAAGUGACGGUACCUGUAGAAGAAGCACCGGCCAACUACGUGCCAGCAGCCGCGGUAAUACGUAGGGUGCGAGCGUUGUCCGGAAUUACUGGGCGUAAAGAGCUCGUAGGUGGUUUGUCGCGUUGUUCGUGAAAACUCACAGCUCAACUGUGGGCGUGCGGGCGAUACGGGCAGACUUGAGUACUGCAGGGGAGACUGGAAUUCCUGGUGUAGCGGUGGAAUGCGCAGAUAUCAGGAGGAACACCGGUGGCGAAGGCGGGUCUCUGGGCAGUAACUGACGCUGAGGAGCGAAAGCGUGGGGAGCGAACAGGAUUAGAUACCCUGGUAGUCCACGCCGUAAACGGUGGGUACUAGGUGUGGGUUUCCUUCCUUGGGAUCCGUGCCGUAGCUAACGCAUUAAGUACCCCGCCUGGGGAGUACGGCCGCAAGGCUAAAACUCAAAGAAAUUGACGGGGGCCCGCACAAGCGGCGGAGCAUGUGGAUUAAUUCGAUGCAACGCGAAGAACCUUACCUGGGUUUGACAUGCACAGGACGCCGGCAGAGAUGUCGGUUCCCUUGUGGCCUGU
rnacentral:rRNA from 2 species